AUACGAAUGGUGCAAGCGUUGUUCGGAAUCACUGGGCAUAAAGCGCUCGUAGGCGGUGGCGUAAGUCAGUUGUGAAAUCCCUCGGCUCAACCGAGGAACUGCAACUGAAACUGCGUGACUGGAGUGUGGGAGGGGAGAACGGAAUUCCUGGUGGAGCGGUGAAAUGCGUAGAUAUCAGGAGGAACGCCGGAGGCGAAAGCGGUUCUCUGGCCCACCACUGACGCUGAGGAGCGAAAGCUAGGGGAGCAAACAGGAUUAGAAACCCCAGUAGUCC
rnacentral:rRNA from 1 species